AUGUAUCCACUAGCUUGGGUUGUAGUUGAGCAGGAAACCAAUGAAACUUAGAAAUGGUUUGUUGGGCUACUCAUGAAGGAUCUUGACAUCAACAACAAUGGAGCUGGCUGGGUGUUUAUCUCUGAUCAACAAAAGCGCAUACUCAAUGCAAUGCAGGACUAUCUACCAGUGCAGAGCACAGGAUGUGUGCUAGGCACAUAA
rnacentral:rRNA from 1 species